CGAAGUCUAUAUACCAUCAGCGAGGUAUAGAGUUCCUACGUGCAAAUUGCAAUAGUCGUAGGAACUUAAUACCGUGCUCUUGGAGGGCUGUCGACC
rnacentral:pre_miRNA from 15 species